UAAGUAAAUCGGGCAACCGCCCCCCCCGACGUAUCGUCGGGGGGAGAGGAAAGUCCGGGCUCCAAAGAGCAGCGUAGCGGGUAACACCCGUCGGCCGUAAGGUUAGGAUAACCCCGCCGUUGGCGGGGACCCCGCAGAGUCGCAAGACGCAUGCGGGGAGAGCAACAGAGACGAGUCCCCGACGGAUCGUCGGGGGGUGAAACGGGCAAUCUCUACGCGGAGCAAGACCAAAUAGGUCCUGAUUUAGUAGCUGCUCGCUUCUGCCGCAAUUUAUCGGCGUCAGGACGGGUAAGGUCGCUAGAUCCUGCCAGCAAUGGCAGGACAAGAUAAAUGGUUGCCAAAUGAGGUCGGAUUAUGGCCUCAUUUACAGAACUCGGCUUACAGAUUUACUUGUCCG
rnacentral:RNase_P_RNA from 2 species